ACGAGUGCACCUGCCAGGCGAGGCCUGACCCGAGGCCCAAGCGGGGCGGGGGCGAGGAUCCGACUCUGUGCUCAGCUGCUUUCCAGCUUCUGAAAACACCUCGCAGCCCUCUAUGGCAGGAGACUUUCUUGGGUCAGGCAAGUGUGAGGUGAAAAGACCAUGAUCCUUCCUGAUUCUUGGAACCUGAGACUGUCUGGCCUGCUGUCAGCCUCAAAGGGCUGUCCUUAGAAUUAAAUAAAUAAAUAAAUAAAGACGCAAACACUGUGUCUUAGAAGAAUGUCUGCCACGUGAUAUUAGAUCCUGCUCUCCGCUGGGGUUCUGCACACCAUCCAACGGUGUCCACUGAACUUCCUUUUGCUUUUUGCUUUGUUUUUAUUCUUCCCUGGGAAAAAAAUAAAAUA